ensembl:snRNA U6 U6 spliceosomal RNA
UUGCUUGAUUCGGGAGCACAUAUACUAAAAUUGGAAUGAUCCAGAGAAGAUCAGCAUGGCCCCUGGGAAAGAGUGACAUGCAAAUCCAUGAAGAGUCCACUUUUUUU